GUGGGGAAUAUUGGGCAAUGGGCGAAAGCCUGACCCAGCAACGCCGCGUGAAGGAAGAAGGUUUUCGGAUCGUAAACUUCUAUCCUUGGUGAAGAUAAUGACGGUAGCCAAGAAGGAAGCCCCGGCUAACUAUGUGCCAGCAGCCGCGGUAAUACGUAGGGGGCAAGCGUUGUCCGGAAUGAUUGGGCGUAAAGGGCGCGUAGGCGGCCCGGUAAGUCUGAAGUGAAAGUCCUGCUUUUAAGGUGGGAAUUGCUUUGGAUACUGUCGGGCUUGAGUGCAGGAGAGGUAAGCGGAAUUCCCGGUGUAGCGGUGAAAUGCGUAGAGAUCGGGAGGAACACCAGUGGCGAAGGCGGCUUACUGGACUGUAACUGACGCUGAGGCGCGAAAGUGUGGGGAGCAAACAGGAUUAGAUACCCCGGUAGUCC
rnacentral:rRNA from 1 species